GAUCUCAAAUCAGGUAGGACUACCCGCUGAACUUAAGCAUAUCAAUAAGCCGGAGGAAA
rnacentral:rRNA from 1 species